GUAUGUAUCGUGGGGGUGGGGGGGGGGGGCGUGGUACGAGAGGCACUGAAGGCAAACCCACUGAUUUAAUCAUUCGGAAAAUAUUUUCUAAAGAAUCAGUAUGUGCCAGCUCUGCGCUCAGUCUGGGAUACAGCUGUGCCUCCUACCUGCUCAGUCUGCGCUUCUGGUUUCCUGGAAAAUGCAGCCUUAGCAACGGCUGACCUGGUUCUCAGGGCUGCUAUCUGACCCCGUCUCCACCUCCAUGUACUAACCACCCCUCCCCGCCGACCACUGCACCACCCCCCGACCAAGCAGGAUCAACUGGCAAGGAGAGAUUGCUAAGCCAGUCCAUGGGUUCCACGGGUGGACUGGACCGAGGAGUCUCUGGUUUCCCCGGCCACUAUGUGAAGGAACUGGGUAACACGGCCCAGAAGCGCAGGGGAGUUCGUGGCCCUAGUGGGCAGCCUCUGAGACGGCCUCCAGUGAUCCCCAUCUCCUGGUACUCAUGCCCUUGGGCUAUCCCCGCCCUCUGGCUGUGGGCUGGACCCAGUGACUCACUUCUGAUGAGCACAGUACAACAAAAAUGAUGGGAUGCAACUUCCAAGGGAACCUGCCCCCAACUUCCAGUCCAGUGACCUCCAAAUUGUACCAAAGAAACAGAACAUCGUUUUCAAAGUCAGAAACAAUCGUCCCUAAAUAUGCACCAGUGUCCUAUGAGUUUCUCCCUACUGGGGCUUCUGCUUUAGACCAUUUAUGUCUGACAGAUUGUACCAUGAAUGUGGUGGGGUUUUCAUAUCAGUUCUGCACAUGUGUGACAUUGCUGGGGCCUCGUGGCUCCCCGAAGCAGCCCCCAGCAUCCCCAUUGAGGGUCGUGAAACCAAAGUGGGCUGGAAACUGGAGACACCCCAACUCUGGAUUCUCUCACCCAUCUGCAAUGUUCAUUCCACUACAUGACUAAGAUGACUUCUUUCUAGUCAUAAUAAAGGCUUUUGGUUUUUCAGUUGGUGGGAGCAGUGUGGGUCGGGGGUGGAUCUGGCCUUCCGUGCUUUUUGCUUUUCUUCUCUCUCACUCCUGCAGGCUGGCUUCUAAACACCCCUUUAAAUGUUAACUCCUCCACAUACAUCCCGAAGUUGAGCAGGGGCUUGGAAAUGAAGAGGAGCUUUACGUCAAGCCAUUUUCAGUUUCAGGCUCAAAUCCAAGGCUUCAGUGGGAUUUGGGGUAAUGAGCGUGUUUGGGGGUUGUCUGUCUUCACUGGGUCCCGUUAGUGCAGGAGGCGGUUUGGUCCUGCACAAAGUCCUCAGGGCAGCAAAACUGAAUGUUCUUUUUCUUGCCACCUCCCUCCCCCCAAUUCUGCAAACAAAAAACAAAAACCCCCCUGGCUAAUGGAAGAGACUCAACAAACAACACUCAUGGCCACUCCAGGUUCCCUCUGGAAGAGGGAAAGUGACUUUAAUGAAAGGAGGUGGGCAGAUUCUGAAAUCCUCUUUCUGGAACCUUGGUCAGGACUUCUGCUUCUCCUUGGGCCACUUACAGACUUCACGUGGCUCAGGACAGAGGAGCAGCAUCGGCUCUCAGAGGCAAGCCACAAUAGGGGCCACGGGGCCACGAUGCCCUUCCAGAAGGCUUCAC
rnacentral:lncRNA from 1 species